CACACAACAAACAAGAAACAUCAUCACUAAACCAGACCUCCCAGCACUACAUCAACCCGUCUUUUGAACACCUCCAGGGAUGAUGUGUCCAUACUUCCCCCUUUGACCACCUCCCCCGCAGCCCCCCAAAAGUUUUGACCUUCUUGAAAAAUCCUUCUCUCCCCAGCUCUGAGCUCCUGGGACCCCCAAAAAACCAUAUUCCCUUAUUCUCAUGGACCGUCUGCAGGGCUGGAUCCCUCGGUGGGACGUGGGUCUGGACUCUCUGUCCCGCACGUGGUGGAUACGUGCCAGACGGCAGCACUUUUUUUAAAUAAUCUGUAGCACUCUAAUGUCCGUCCCGCAGGAGCUGAUGAAAUGGGUCCUAUUAUACUUCCUGAGCUAAGCUUGAUCUUUCAUUGUCCCGUCGGCCCAGCUCCCGGCACCGCGAGCUCCAUUUUCACUGCGGACAAUUGCAAAGGCCAAAAGUGGGAAUCACCGGUGGUGGAAAAGUUUUAUGGGUUUCCCUUUUGCCAUUUCCAUCUAGAUGACAUCAUAAAACGCCACAGGAAGGAGCAGACGGAGGGCAGUGCCACGGGGGACCGGCGGCAGCAGCAGGUGAAGAACAGGAACGCGGCGUUUGGGUCCGGGCGGCCCCGAUUCCGCGCCUGGAUGCAGAGGAAUUUGCAAGGGCCUAACCGUUUUAGAAGAGGGUUUGGACAACAACAACACAACCGGAGACAGUUCAGGAACACUGUGCCCGGCCCCAGGAGAAGGGCAGCUGCCGCCUUAAACGGAGUGAGCCCUUUGAAUCGCCAGGCAUCGGCUCAGGAGGGCAACAGGAACGACGAGGCUUUCGCCAAAAGCAGCGGGCAGCCCGAGGGACGGCGACGGCCGCCCCCAGGCCCCAAGAGAUUCCGAGUGGCUGCUGCCAGCACCCACGCCCCGGGGAGAAGGCCUUUCCUGCUGAACCGGGGACCAGCCUUCCAGCAGAAGCGGAUGCCGCAGUGGUUCUCCAAAGCCAACUUUCAGAGAGGGCAGAUGGAUGCUAAUGGAGAAGGGAAACCACCCAGGAGGAGAAGGCCAGCCAAAGCCAUCUCCAGACUAACCUCUGGUGGGGUCGAGAGGUUUAGAAGUGCAGGAGGAACCAUACAGGGUCAGGAGAGAGUCCCCGUGGAGCAUCCCCGGGAUUGGGACACCAGGACCAAACCAAACACACAGCGAUUUCUUCCUUUAGCCCUGGUAUCUUUGUGUUUAACAGCAUUUGGUGGGGUUUUCUUCCACUGUUGCCUUUUGCUGUUUGCUUUCUGUCUAUUUGUCUGCCUCCAGAGGCCAGUAUUACAAGUGAAUAUUUGUUCCUGUAUGCCCUUCACAAUUUAUAGACCCAUGCCGUGUUCUCCCUUCCUCACCACCUUUCUAGAAGAACCUCAGUGUAUCUACUUGUUCACUGCCACCUUCUGGAUAUAUAUAUAUAUUUUUUUUUUUAGUGUAUAUAAAUUUGUAAUAAAGAUAUCUUAAAAUAAACUAUGUUUAUAUUAAGUCA
rnacentral:lncRNA from 1 species